rnacentral:rRNA from 1 species
UACAGAGGUCUCAAGCGUUUGUUCGGAUUCAUUGGGCGUAAAGGGUGUGUAGGUGGCGCGCUAAGUCGGGUGUGAAAUUUCGGAGCUUAACUCCGAAACUGCAUUCGAUACUGCGGUGCUUGAGGACUGGAGAGGAGACUGGAAUUCAUGGUGUAGCAGUGAAAUGCGUAGAGAUCAUGAGGAAGACCAGUGGCGAAGGCGGGUCUCUGGACAGUUCCUGACACUGAGACACGAAGGCCAGGGGAGCAAACGGG